rnacentral:rRNA from 1 species
AUGGCACUUGACAAGUUAUAUGGUAAGUACAAUGACAGUUUUCAGUUACUUUUUGCUUUCAAAGCAGAAGUAGAGAGGGCAUCACCAGGCAGUGUUGUUGACAUUGACGAGUACAAGUUAAAAGGAAAGAAAUUCUACAAAGAGUGUUUUAGAAGGGUUUUUGUCUGUUUCAAAGCUUGUCAGAAGGGGUUUCUGGAGGGGUGUAGGCCAUACUUGGCUGUAGAUGCAACUGCAUUGUAUGGUAGGUUUAGGGGCCAACUUGCAGCAGCAUGUGCCCUAGAUGCACACAAUUGGUUAUUUCCUGUUGCAUAUGGUGUUCUUGAAGUGGAGUCCACUGAGAGUUGGACAUGGUUUUUCAAUAAUUUGAAGAAAGUUAUAGGACACCCUGAAGGAUUAGUUAUCCAUACUGAUGCUUGCAAAGGACUGGAGAGUGCUCUUGAUGAUGUUUAUCCUGGAGUUGAGCAUAGAGAGUGCAUGAGACAUUUGUCUCAAAAUUUUGGCAAGAUAUUCAAAGGGAAAUUUUAUGAUGACAAUCUGUACCCGUAG